UACGAAGGGGGCUAGCGUUGCUCGGAAUCACUGGGCGUAAAGCGCACGUAGGCGGCUUGUUAAGUCAGGGGUGAAAUCCCAGAGCUCAACUCUGGAACUGCCUUUGAUACUGGGUGUCUUGAGUCCGGAAGAGGUGAGUGGAAUUCCGAGUGUAGAGGUGAAAUUCGUAGAUAUUCGGAGGAACACCAGUGGCGAAGGCGGCUCACUGGUCCGGUACUGACGCUGAGGUGCGAAAGCGUGGGGAGCAAACAGG
rnacentral:rRNA from 1 species